rnacentral:rRNA from 1 species
UGCGCCUACGGGGCGCAGCAGUGAGGAAUAUUGGUCAAUGGCCGAGAGGCUGAACCAGCCAAGUCGCGUGAGGGAUGACGGCCCUACGGGUUGUAAGCCUCUUUUGUCGGGGAGCAAGACCCGCCACGAGUGGCGGAGCGAGAGUAUCCGAAGAAAAAGCAUCGGCUAACUCCGUGCCAGCAGCCGCGGUAAUACGGAGGAUGCGAGCGUUAUCCGGAUUUAUUGGGUUUAAAGGGUGCGUAGGCGGUCCGUUAAGUCAGCGGUAAAAUUGCGGGGCUCAACCCC